UUGGGCCUAGUAAUGUAAUCCCUUAUUGUGGUUAAGGGAGGGGUGCUCAAA
rnacentral:tRNA from 1 species